rnacentral:lncRNA from 1 species
GGUGCACGAGUGGCCGUCUGUGCCAUGUCUGCCUUGCAUUUGAUUCCAGCAGUUACCAAGAUAAACUAGAGAAAGAAAUAGCUUUGUUGUGGAUUGCAUUGUCGAGCCAUUUUCGUGUCCUGAUACCGCAUCGAUCACCUGAUCGCUGGAUCGAUUGGAGUCCCUGAGCCUGAGCCUGAUGGGAGGAAUUUGAUGGAUCAUUCCUUUAUGGGACUGAGUAUUCUAAGAUCAUUCCCUGUAUGCAAAUAAUCUAGUAUGGGUCCCUGUAAUUGUUCUUACCUAAUACAGGAGGGAGCUUCUCUUGUGAAGGCUGAUACUGAUCUUUUUAGGUAGUUCCUGGUUAAAAGAACCCAAAGUAAUGAAAAAUAUAUUGCUAGUAAUAAUUUCUCUGAAUACUCACAGACAGCUAAUACAGCUGUUCCUCUUCAAGAUACUGCUAUCUGCUGAGAGGCCCUGGAGCUAUUCCCGAGACUACAGAGACUAUCCUGCUUGUCAUCACCUGCAGCUGGUUCCAGGCUCCAAGGAUAAAUUGGCAGGAAUGGACUUUCCCCCCACCCCCUCUUUUAUAAAGCAUUUCCGCCAUUAAAAAUUUGAACCUUGA